CNNNCGNAGAUAGCCAGCANGUCUAGUACAUGCCGUAUUAAGGCGAAACCGCGAAUGGCUCAUUAAAUCAGUUAUGGUUCCUUGGAUCGUACUUUACUACUUGGAUAACUGUGGCAAUUCUAGAGCUAAUACAUGCAGCAGAGCUCCGACCUUCGGGGACGAGCGCUUUUAUUAGACCAAAACCAAUCGGGCCUCGUGUCCGUGAACUGUGGUGACUCUGUAUAACUUUGGGCUGAUCGCACGGGCUCGUCCCGGCGACGUAUCUUUCAAGUGUCUGCCUUAUCAACUGUCGAUGGUAGGUUACGCGCCUACCAUGGUCGUAACGGGUGACGGGGAAUCAGGGUUCGAUUCCGGAGAGGGAGCCUGAGAAACGGCUACCACAUCCAAGGAAGGCAGCAGGCGCGCAAAUUACCCACUCCCGGAACGGGGAGGUAGUGACGAAAAAUAACAAUACGGGACUCUUUUGAGACCCCGUAAUUGGAAUGAGUACACUCUAAAUCCUUUAACGAUUAUCCAUUGGAGGGCAAGUCCAGUGCCAGCAGCCGCGGUAAUUCUGGCUCCAAUAGCGUAUAUUAAAGUUGUUGCGGUUAAAAAGCUCGUAGUUGGAUCUCAGUUCCAGACGGGCGGUCCGCCUACCGGCGGUCACUGCCCGUUCUGAACAGGCCAGCCGGUUUCCCCUGAUGAUCUUCACCGGUUGUCUCGGGUGACCGGCAAGUUUACUUUGAAAAAAUUAGAGUGCUCAAAGCAGGCGCGACGCCUGAAUAAUGGUGCAUGGAAUAAUGGAAUAGGACCUCGGUUCUAUUUUGUUGGUUUUCGGAACGCGAGGUAAUGAUUAAGAGGGACAGACGGGGGCAUUCGUAUUGCGACGCUAGAGGUGAAUUCUUGGACCGUCGCAAGACGACNNGAANNUUUUUUUUUUUU
rnacentral:rRNA from 1 species